rnacentral:rRNA from 1 species
UACGUAGGGGGCAAGCGUUGUCCGGAUUUAUUGGGCGUAAAGAGCGUGUAGGCGGCCAGGUAGGUCUGCUGUGAAAACUCGAGGCUUAACCUCGAGCUGUCGGCGGAAACCAUCUGGCUAGAGUCCGGAAGAGGAGAAUGGAAUUCCCGGUGUAGCGGUGAAAUGCGCAGAUAUCAGGAGGAACACCGGUGGCGAAGGCGGCUUGCUGGGCCAGUUCUGACGCUGAGGUGCGAAAGCGUGGGGAGCAAACAGG